UCCCGAUUAGCUCAGUCGGUAGAGCAGCGGACUGUUAAUCCGCGUGUCGCUGGUUCGAGUCCAGCAUCGGGAGCCA
rnacentral:tRNA from 1 species